rnacentral:lncRNA from 1 species
GGGAGAGGUGCACUGGUCAGAGGUAUACAGGGAGUUAUAGUAAGUCCAGAUGGCAUUUUUAACAUCUCUGUGAUUGUAAAUCCAAUUUCCUGAAUCAGUUUGGAGGGAGUUGUUCCUAUUUCUUCUCCUUCUAUUGAUGGUAGAAGCAUGAAAGAACUUUGUGUUAGCAUCACCCUCUGACAGCCAUUCUAUCCUAAACUUAAGUCUCCAAAACUCAUGUUCAUGUCGUAGGAGAUCACUAAGACUUUUAGUAAGAGAGAGUUUCAGAGAAUGGAGAAAAAAACUAAUUGGAUAGUUGGGAGAGCAUUGGAUACCAGCUAAACGGGCAAGAAUUAUUUUCUUCUUCAGAAAGAUAUUGCCAAAGGUUUUCCUGUUCCAAAUUUUUAUCCUAGUUUAGAAGUGGGAGAAAGCAGAGGUGAUACCAGGGUGGACAUUGAUGGAGUUCUUAACCAUGUCAGGAAAGGUAGGAUGGAAACACCACAUGGAUUCUAACCUGAAAGGUCUAUUAACCGGGGAGUAAGUUUUCAAAGGCUACAGGAGAAUGGCGCAGUGGUCGGAGUGAGUUCUAGCGAGAUGGGUAACUGUAGAAUCAGGGAAAGAAUUGAUCCAAGAUUUAUUAGCUAGACAUCUGUCCAGUCUCUCAAGGAUAAGGGCCCACAUAUUUCUGUAUUUUUUAUUAGUCCAGGUAUACUUACUACCUUUAAAGCCUAAGUCAGUAAGGUUAUUGUUGUUGAUGCAAUCUCUAAACAGAUUGACCCUAGAGUUACUUAUAGUAUUACCACCAAAUUUCUCUGCACCAUUAAGAACUUCAUUGAAACCCUCCCCCCCACUACUCAAGAGUUAGUAUUAUGGAGGUCAAUGUUAGAGGACAAGUCAGUUAACUGGUUCCAGAGAAGCUUUCUAACCUCGAAGUCGGUGCUAGCAUAAACAAGGCUAAAAAACCACUGAGAAGGGGGGUU